GGCUCUUCUACGAGCAGCCCAACUACAGAGGCAGGCAGUACUUCAUGAGGCCCGGAGAGUACAGGAGGUUCAGCGACUGGGGAGGCAUGAGCCCCAGGAUCGGCUCCUUCCGGCGCCUCAUGGACUUCUGUUAAUCAGAACAUGUCAUUCACAAUUGAAAAUGAAACUGUUCUGGUGUAAAAAUAAAACCUUUUAAACAAAAACA